rnacentral:rRNA from 1 species
AUUAKAUUAAAAGCCAACGCCCUUCKGGGCUCUGUGGUGAUUCAUAAUAACUGGUCGAAUCKCAUGCCUUGCKCCGGCRAUGGUUCAUUCRMAUUUCUUCCCUAUCAACUUUCGAUGCRAGGGUCUUGUCCUCKCAUGGKUGCACGGGWAACGGAGGGUUAGGGCUCRACCCCRGASAARGARCCUGAKAAACSGCUACUACAUCCAAGGAAGGCAGCARGYKGCAAAUUACCCAAUCCCGACRCGGGGAGGUAGUGACAAUAAAUAUGAUACAGGGCUCUUUUGGGUCUUGUAAUCGAAUGAGUACAAUUUAAAUCCCUACGAGGAACAAUUGGAGGGCAAGUUGGUCCAGCAGCCGCGGUAAUUCCAGCUCCAAUGCGUAUAUUAAAGUUGUGUUUGGUUAAAAAGCUGUAGUCGAACCUUGGGCCUGGCUGGCCGGUCCCCCUCACCGGGUGCAUGUCCACCGGGCCUUCCUCUGUGGCCCCAUGGCCUUCACUGGCUGUGCGGGGGAAACAGGACUUUUAUGUGAAAAAAUUAGAGUGUCCACAGGCCUAUGCUGAAUACAUUACAUGGAAUAAUAGAAUAGGACGUGGGUUUAUUUUGUUGGUUUCUAGGCCCGUAAUGAUUAAUAGGGACAGUGGGGGCAUCAGUAUUCAGUUUCAGAGGUGAAAUUUUGGAUUACUGAAGACUAAAUGGAAACAUUUCCAAGGAUGUUUUCAUUGAUAAGGAACGAAAGUUAGGGGAUGAAGACGAUCAGAUCCGUGAGUUUACUAUAAAUAUCCGAUAGGGAUCGGAGAUGUUAUUAUUUGACGCGUUCGGCACCUUUCGAGAAAUCAAGUGCUUGGGCUCCAGGGGGAGUAUGGUCGCAAGGCUGAAACUUAAAGAAAUUGACGAAGGGCACCACCAGGGGUGGAACUGCGGCUUAAUUUGACUCAACACGGGGAAACUCACCAGGUCCAGACACAGUGAGGAUGACAGUAUGAGA